rnacentral:miRNA from 1 species
CAUUCUGCAUUGCUUAAUAACU